ensembl:lncRNA XPC-AS1 XPC antisense RNA 1
AGCAGAUGACCUGUACUUCUCUGCUCUCUCCCCUACUGCAAAGAGGCAGUGAGGGCAGCAUUAGUAAGCCUGACUCAGGGGAAGAUGAACACCACAGACGGGGUAAAUGAUUUGCCUAAAGUCACACAGCUCGUAAGGGCCAGAGCCCACACUUUCAUCCACUAGCCUAUAUUCUGUGCUGUCAUCACUGAUAGCAGUGACUGAGACUGAGAGACAAAGUCACUUAAGAGCUGAUGGCUGCUACUAAAAAAUUUAAAUGUGUGGCUCACGUUACAUUUCAACUGAACACUGCUAUGCUGGUUCCAGCACAAAAGACAGGUGAGAUGGUGCAGAGAAAAUCCUCAGCAACCCUGCAGGCCCAGGCAGGGGGCAUCGCCCACUCCAGCCUGCUGCUGGCAGUGACUGUGACCAGCGCCUGCAGCCUUUCCCACUAAGCGGAGGCCCCUCCACUCCCCACUCAGCUUCCCGGAGUCUUGCAACCCCCAAGGACUCCUGGGGUCUGAUGAGAAGUAAAUGGUCUCUGUGAUCAGCCA